AAAAGCUUUCUUUAAUUAAAUAAUUGAAUUUAAUUUUUUAGUGCAAAAGCAAAAAUAAAAAUUAGGGACAAGAAGACCCUAUGAAUUUUUUAUUAAAUUUUAUAAAACUUUAUGUAAAAUUUAAUUUAAUUGGGGUGAUGGAAAAAGAAUAAAUAUCUUUUUUUUAAAAGAAAAUUGGUUCCGUUUUUAGCGAUUGAAUGAAAAAAAUACUCUAGGGAUAACAGCGUAAUAAUUUUGGAUAGUUCAUAUAGAUAAAAUAGUUUGCGACCUCGAUGUUGGAUUAGGAUUCUUUUUUGGUGAAGAAGUUAAAAAAAGAAGUUUGUUCAACUUAUAAUUUCCUACUUGAUCUGAGUUCAGACCGG
rnacentral:rRNA from 1 species